rnacentral:rRNA from 1 species
UACAGAGGGUGCAAGCGUUAAUCGGAAUUACUGGGCGUAAAGCGUGCGUAGGCGGUCAUGUAAGUCGGGUGUGAAAGCCCCGGGCUCAACCUGGGAAUUGCAUUCGAGACUGCAUGGCUAGGAUGCGGAAGAGGGAAGCGGAAUUUCCGGUGUAGCGGUGGAAUGCGUAGAUAUCGGAAGGAACACCAGUGGCGAAAGCGGCUUCCUGGUCCAGCAUCGACGUUCAGGCACGAAAGCGUGGGGAGCAAACAGG